rnacentral:rRNA from 1 species
CCAAUAGCGUAUAUUAAAGUUGUUGCAGUUAAAAAGCUCGUAGUUGAACUUCGGGAUUCACCCAUUGGUCAGGCUUAAUUGUCUGUACUGGUGAGAUGAGUCUCUACCUUCUGAGGAACUUUCAUGCCAUUUGUUUGGUGUGAUUGGAAAUCAGGACUGUUACUUUGAAAAAAUUAGAGUGUUUAAAGCAGGCUAACGUCUGAAUACAUUAGCAUGGAAUAAUGAAAUAGGACGGAUUGAUUCUAUUUCGUUGGUUUCUAGGGUCACCGUAAUGAUUAAUAGGGAUAGUUGGGGGCAUUAGUAUUCAAUUGUCAGAGGUGAAAUUCUUGGAUUUAUUGAAGACUAACUACUGCGAAAGCAUUUGCCAAGGAUGUUUUCAUUAAUCAAGAACGAAAGUUAGGGGAUCGAAGACGAUCAGAUACCGUCGUAGUCUUAACCAUAAACUAUGCCGACUAGGAAUCAGACGAUGUUAAUUUUUUAAUGACUCGUUUGGCACCUUACG